rnacentral:misc_RNA from 1 species
CACUGGAUCUUUUUUCUUUUUUAAUUAUUACAGGAAAACGAGAUUUCUUCUCCAGCUAUCAAGUCUGUAAAUGGGAUUCAGCCUAACAAACUUAGGAGUCUGUUAACACAAGAAACAAGACAUGAUUGGCUAGACUCAUGACGAUUUUCUAACGCACAUACCAUACCUAAUAUCCCCCCAACUUGGGGUAUAAAUUUUUAUUGUUCUGCAGGAGGAAAAGAGAACGAAAAAUAAUAAAACAAAGGAAACAAAAAAUAGAUCGUCCUACUACCAGUCUCUUUCUCUCUUCCAUGAUAAAAUUGUCUACAAAAAAUAUUAACAAUUGUUGAUACCCUGCAUACAGUAGGCCCUAAACGUCAACUUCAGAAUUAGUAUGUGCCUUUUCUUGAUGUUUACAAUAGCUUAGCUUCACAAUUUCAGGCACUGCAAUGGCCUCGGUGGCAGCUGCCUGUGAAUCUUGGACGCAUGACCUCUUGUGAGAUGCAUUAGGAAGAAUUUUUGAGGGCCAUGAGAUGCAUGGCCAGCAAUGGGAUUGCCAUGAGACUCAUGGCCCGCCAUGAGACACACCAAGGGACUAAAUGAGGCGCAUGGCCCGCCAUGAGUUACUUCAAAGGACUUGUGAGGUUUGUGAGGCGCAUGGGAGGGUGUGGGAAUCAUCUUGGGCGCGAGAAUCAUCUUGGGCGCACACCUGGCUCUUGAUACAGUAUGGCAGGUAAUACACAUGUUGCUGGAGUUACUUAUGGGAUGAAUGGUGAGCCUCAGAAGGCUUUCCCCCAUUGCUAAUGGCACCAUUAGUCUUCACCCUGCGAUAGAAUAGGACAUAUGCAGAAGCUGUCUUUAUUUCAUCUUCAGUUAUGGAUGAUAUGUGGCUGUCAUCAAAGUUGUACCACCUGUUCUCAUCCAGAAGCUUUAUAUGAGCAGUAUAGUGCCCACUUCCCAUGCCACCAUAAUGGUUGGUUAAGGCAUAAAGUUCAUAGAGCUGACGUUGGGUGCUGUUCUUGUUGGCUACAUAAUUUGCCAAGUCUAAGUCAUGAAUGGGAAAAUCAACAAAAGUUUCCAAUUUAUGCUUCAUUGACCUGCUAUAUGAGAACCUCUUCAAGUGGAUGACUAACACUUCAGGAAGCCUCCAUAAGUCAAGCUUUUUACUUGCUUGUCGUUGUUCUUUGCAUUGUGGACAGUACCACAUAUCUUCAGGUACCAAGGGCUCUUCACGCAGAAAAGCUUCCAGACAGGUGUACAAGGAGAGUGGUUCAGUACGAGCUUUCUUAUUCACAGGUCCAUAUUUGAGCACUUCAGAUAAGUUUUCCAAGUAAUGGGUAUCAUAGCUCUCUAAGAGCUCCUGAGACCAAUCUACAUAUACUAUUAUUGCUGUUGCUGAUGAGGACAAUCUGAUGACUUCCUCUUCUCCCACUGAAAGAUCAGUUAAUGUAUUACUUUCAUCAGCUAACUGAAGUGACAGUCUCAAUAAUGCCAAUGCCUUGGAACUACUACUGUUCAUUAUAGAAUCAGAUACAGGAUCUGUAUAUGCUUCACCAGAACUGCUGUCAUGGCAUGCAUCUGAUUCUGCCACCAGGUUGUUGGAAUCAGCAAUCUCAGUAUGUCUUGAACUCUCAGCUCUUAGAAAAGGGGAGAGCAUUUUGUGAACUGCAGUCUGUAUAUCACCUCUCGUAACUACAUCAUGACAUGAGAUUGAUGAUAAAAGAGGUGUACCAUAAGGUUUCCACCGCAACAUAGUUUGGGUAUCAUUUGUUUCCCCUUCUUGACGGCGAUGAAUCAACCUAAGCACAAGUGCUUUCUUUGCCAACUUUGGAAUCUUGUAGGCAGCAAGAUGGUCAUCAUCUUUGAUCAUGGAUAAAGAUAUCAAAGGGUCAUCUAGAAACCUUUGAAAUAAAUGGUUCCGUACCUCUGCAAGUUUAAGCUCUUCAUUGCUCUUUAAGGAACAAGAAUUGCUAAGGGCAUGGAUCAAGUCUCUACACCGUCCCUGCUUUGGAACAGUCACUGUGCAAGCAAACGGCAGGGUGCUUCCAUCACAAGAAAAAACUGUCACUGUAAUAGACCGGGUAGUGGUGGAUUGGAGUGGCAAAGAAAGGUACAUGAAGGGAUCAAAUGUGACAGAGACUUUAUUGCACAUUGGGCAAACCAAUGUUGACUUGUAUUGCCCUUGGCACACAUCAACAAUUAUAGAAUCAUUACGAGCAAUGUGAUUUGCCCAGUACUCAUCAGCAACUUCUUCAUCUGGACGACCAUCAGCAUCUCUAGACUUUAUGUAAGGUCUGUGUUUGACGCGAUUCAAAUCUUCAUGAAGACCAUCUAGGAGAAAUGCUAAAAGCUCCUGAGAAUCAUGCUGAUUGUACCCACUAAAUUGAGGUGCAAAACGAGCCAGCUUUGCUUUAAAUUGGCGAGGAGGAAUUGCUGUCCGACCAGGUGCCCAAAGCUUUCGGAGUAACUCACCAAAUGCUAGUGCUAGUUCACCCACCAAACCCAAGGGGUUUUGCCAAUUUAUCUCUUGACGAUACUCCUCGCGGAAGUACUUCGCAAACUCAGGAGUAUGAACAAGACAUUGUAUUGCACUAUUCAUAAAGCAUGUGUUUCCAAGGUUAUGCAACCCAAUCAGGCCGCUAGAAGACCCCCUUGUACUGACACCACUAACCCCAUAUGCGUUAUCCAACUCCCCAGCUGGAGAUGUCGGGUUUUGACCUUGUGACAGCUCUGCACUGCAACUUCUUGAAGCACCCUUGCUUGCAGAUAAACCUCCAUUGACAUUGUUAAGAACCUCCACCAGAAUAUCCUGAUCCAUCUGUAUGUUGGCAUCAUCAAGUGUUUUAUCCAUGUCAUGCAUCAAAGCAUGCUUUCGGUGGCCAUAGUAAUCCCAAAUGCAAACUUGUUCUGAAUUGAGAUAAAAAAUCUCACAAGCUCUUCUAUGAAGCUCCCCAAUUGUCUCCUUCUUGCUUAUUCUUAUUGCAGAGUGAUCACCCUUAGGUGUAACCAGUAGUUGAAGACGGAGAGGAUACACCUCCACAGCUAAUUCUGUCUGAGAAAGACCUGAACUGAUUACUUUUCGUGCCAAUGUUGGACCACCUCCAUACCAUGAAUACAACUGGUUCCAAACUUCUUGUGGAAGCAGUACAUAAUCACGGCCUUCUAAUAAACUAUCAUGAAUCUCAAUGCCGACAUGGGAGUCCUCUGAAGUUGCAUCGUAUAUUAAAUCAGAAUUAUCGAUACUAGCAGGCCUCUUUGAAGAACCAACCAAAUCACAAUGUUCUAACAAAGAGGACCCAUCAUUUGUAAUAUUUUGCUGGUCUUGGUUCACAUAUUUGAUCCAAUGCUGCCACCACCUCUGAGUGAUUAAAUAGAAGGUGUCACCUUCUUUGCUAUUAGCCUCAGCGGAAAUAGCAAUGUCUCUAAUCAAAACCCUCUCUUCCUCCGGCGUGAGCUCCCCACCGGCAGUGCUACUGCACAUUGAUACUUCCGUCAUCGAUUUUUUUUUGGAAUUUGAAACAAGAAAACAAUGUAAGCUUCAAGAUUUGAAAUUCUAACUUCUUGUCUUCUCUUGGAUUUAGUUUAUUUCAUUUUCUCGGUAGCCAAACAGGGGUGUCAAGUCUCAAUUGUCAAUUGGUGGGAAAUAAAAAUCAGUUGCGUCAAUCUGCGGGGGGGGAGGCAUGUUAUGGGUCGAU